rnacentral:snRNA from 1 species
UUGCUUCAGCAGCAAAUAUACUAAAAUUGGAAUGAUACAGAGAAGAUUAUCAUGGCCCCUGCGCAAGGAUGACAUGCANAUUUGUGAAGUGUUCCAUAUAUAG